rnacentral:rRNA from 1 species
AGUGAACGCUGGGGGAGGGCCAACCCCUGGCAGGUGGACCGCCGCCCCGGUAGAGGCUGCCUCUUCGGGUUGGCGGUGGCCGGCGGGUGGAGGAUUCCUCCGGAUCUACCUUUUUCGUGGGGUAUACCUAGGGGAAACUCCCCCUAUUCCCGCAUCCACCUUCCGGUUAAACGCAUGGAACUUCCGGACUUUGCCCGAUUCAAUAAGCCGAUGUCGGAUUAGCUAGUUGGCGGGGUAAAGGCCCACCAAGGCGACGAUCCGUAGCUGGUCUGAGAGGAUGAUCAGCCACACUGGAACUGAGACACGGUCCAGACUCCUACGGGAGGCAGCAGUGGGGAAUAUUGGACAAUGGGCGCAAGCCUGAUCCAGCCAUACCGCGUGGGUGAAGAAGGCCUUCGGGUUGUAAAGCCCUUUUGUUGGGAAAGAAAAGCAGCAGGUUAAUACCCCGCUGUUCUGACGGUACCCAAAGAAUAAGCACCGGCUAACUUCGUG